rnacentral:misc_RNA from 1 species
CGCACAUUGCGCCCUUUGGUAUUCCGAAGGGCAUGCCCGUUCGAGCGUCAUUUCACCAAUCAAGCCUGGCUUGGUGUUGGGCCCCGGGGAGACCCGGGCCCCAAAGUUCGCCGGCCGGACGUCCCGGAUCUCAGCGUUGUGGCAUCAAAACCCGCGGAGAGAUGGGGCGGCCGUGCCGUCACAAAACCCAUUUUCAUGAAAGGUUGACCUCGGAUCGGGUAGGGAUACCCGCUGAACUUAA